UACGUAGGGGCAAGCGUGUCCGGAAUCAUUGGGCGUAAAGCGCGUGUAGGCGGCCCGGUAAGUUCGCUGUGAAAGUCGGGGCUCAACCCUCGAAAUCGGCCGGUGGAAACUGGUACGAGCUAGAGUCCGGAAGAGGCGAAGUGGAAUUCCUGGUGUAGCGGUGAAAUGGCGCAGGAUAUCAGGAGGAACAACCAUGGCGAAGGCAGCGUCGCUGGACGGUACUGACGCUGAGACGCGAAGCUGGGAGCA
rnacentral:rRNA from 1 species